rnacentral:lncRNA from 1 species
ACCGUCUUUUUGGUGUUUUCAUAUUACUUGCGAAACUAAAAUGCUAACACAAGGAAUCAACACUAAAAAAAGGGUAAACAAGAUAUGAUACUGGGACAGGAAUAUAUCACAACACAAACAUAUAUAUUUUCACAUGAACGUAAUUAACACAGGGACUACAGAACACACAUAAGCACACAUAAGCACACAUACGCGAACAGGGCACUACACCAUGAUUCAGGUUACAUAAGUAAACAAAUUAUACAAGCCACUUGACUAGUAUCACAGAUCAAGAGUAGUAUUGAACAACUAAAAAAUAGAUAGUAUAAGUACCUAGCACAUGGAGCAAGUACUCUUAGAAUCUGAAUGUUUCAGACUACACGUCUCAGACUACACAAAAUUCAGAGAAGAGAAGGAGAAAGAGAGAUGGCAGCAGGAGGUUAGAGAAAGAAGAAGCAGCAACUGGGGCAUGGGGAAAGGAGCAGCAACAGUACGGGAUUCAGGGAAGAGCAACAGAGAGGGAGAGAGCAGCAGCAAGGAUGAGGGAAGGAGGAGCAGCACCAGGGGUGCAAGACGAGCAGCAACAGCAGGAACGUGAGAAGGAGCAGUACCAGGGGCGUGAGAGAGGAAGCAGCAGCAUGGUGAGGAGAAGGAGAAGAGCAACAACGAGGUAAGGGAAGAGCAGCGAGCGGUAGGGAGGCGCUGGAUGUGGUGGUGCUAUGGCGACGGCGCGGUGGUGUUGGAGGCGCGAGGUGGUGGAUGGCGCUGGUGUUGGAUGGCGUGAGUGAUGGAUGGCGCGAGGUAGUGAUGCGGUGAGAGGUGCUGGUGGCGCCGCCACGCCGGCCUGGCCGCGGUAGCGGCCGGAGGUGGAGAAGGGGUCGGGUGAGGGAGAUGGAGAUGCCAUGCCUUAUUGGGAAUAGAGGCUGCGGUAGGGAUUUGGUUCCUCUCCUCAGAUCUGCACUUUUGCACUUCGGCCCUUCUACUUCUCUUCCUACUUCACAAGUUGAUCCUCCACUUCUUUAGGCAGAACCUUGAUACUUUAAUAUUCAUCACACUCAAGUCCCUCUUCCUUCUCUUCUUUCAUAUGCUCAUCUCAAUAGUCACAUAGACGGAAUCUUGAAGUUUAUAGUGCCUUUGCGCACUUUUCUGCAAAAGAAACAAGUGACAAGUAAAUGAUCCCUUUAUAAGAUUUUCAUUCAAAUAUGCAACAGUUCACAGCAAGAAUUGAUGGUCAGGUCACAAUAAACCGCAUAUUUGAGUGCGAAAAGAUGUAUAUGAAAUGUGUUGAUCAAGUUCCCCCACACUCAAAUCUUUGCUUGUCCUCAAGCAAAGGCAUAUGACAAGAGCAAGAAUAUGAACAGUGAGCUGAGUAAAGAAUGUCCUGAUAAAAUAGAUCUCCAAACAAGGCAUGCUUCAGACUUAGCUAGUGAAAAUUAAUGGUUAGGAGUGCUUCAAAGGAAUAGGAUACUAGUAGACUUGAUCAUUUUAAACGUUUACAACGAUAAAAGUGGAUCAACAAGUUUGAAUGAUGAUUGUGCCAAAGGUUCCUAAAGAGAGCACGAUCCCGAGAAUUAAAAGAACUUGUGAUCAGAUUACUUAUUAACAGGAACACAACACUGUGUUUGAACCACUUAUUGAAUUUUGAAGGAAGCAAUGAUAAUAUUUUAUCGAUCUCACCAAAGGAACAUACCACCGAUCCCGAGAACAUGGUAUACACCCGGCUCGACCAAUUAUAUAGUUCUUUUUGUUUGUCUCCCCAAAGGAACAUACCAUCGAUCCCAAGAACAUGGUAUACACCUGGUUCGACAAUUACAUUUUUUAUCAUUAAUUACUGCCCAAGCUAACCCGAUUUCACAUGCCACCGAUCCCGAGAACAUGACAUGCUACUGUAGGUAGUCAGACUAAUUUAUUCAAUAUUACUUAUCUUAAAUGAACAACGCAUAAGCACAAAAAAAGGAAUCAUCACUUCUCCAUGUAUGGUUCACAUGCUACCGAUCCAGGGAACAUAGCAUGCUAAUCCAUAGUGGUUAGGUGAUUGCUCUCAAUGGAAACACAUUAGGCACAAACUCCGCAUCUGACACUUAAUGAUCUAGGUGUAUCAAGGUAAAAGCAGAAAAUGAUUAAGUUUUCUAGUGUACUAGGGAUUUGAGCACUCAAAACUAGUAACUUUCACUAAUUUCGGCAAAGCAAGCAUUGUGUAGAUCACUAGUUUACAAGGCAUUCAACACUCACUUCACAUAUUCACAUCAAUCACCCUAUGUCGAAGGUAAAAUUCAGUGGGACGAUAUUUAAGAAAUUGCUCAAGCGACCCAAAUAACAUUUGAUUACAGCAUGUAUAAUGUAUGAUGGUAUUCAGAUUGGAGUCAUGAAACAGCUCAUCGGGCUUAUAUGAUGUAGGUCUCGCUUGAUCACUCUCACAUCCUCAUGCAUUGUGACUCCUCUCUUUUUGCUUCCCUAUCCUCAUGCCUGCUCCAGCUUCUCUCUUCAUGUGUGCUCCUUGCUUCUCCUCAUCCCCAUGCCAUGAGUCCACCGGGGUCCCAGGGAAUGUCAUCUCGAACUUGGUCAGCAUGUAGUGGAUCGUGCACAAGCAACAACCUGAAAGAGCACUCAACCAAGGAAACAAUACAAGUGACAAGGGUAAUGCCCUGUAAAUCAUCUAUAGAGUACCCAAUUACAUAAGCAUAGCUAUAAAGCACAUGUUUAGGAUGGUACAAAUCAGUAAGCUCAAUGCUAACAUGAGAAUGAUAUUUAUCAUUAACUCAAGACUAACAUGGGAAUGAUGUGUUUCAUUAAGCAUAGAACUAGCACGAGGAAAGUAACGGUGAUCAUCACAGGUGAGAGUAAUGCCACUAACAGGGUGUGUAUGAUCAUGUCCAAACAAAUAGUUUUUCAAAUCUACCUUAAGUGAUGGCAUCAUGUAAUGCAAGUUAGAAGCAAAGAAAUCACAAGGGAGCAUGUCAUCAAGAGGAUUGGGUAAACCUGACACAUCACGCUCAUGUAUGACAAUAGGCCAAUGAAUCUCAGGUUCUUCAUCUUCAUCUACAGCAUCUUCUUGUACUUCUUCAGGAGUAGUAGAUGAUGAGUCUUCAACUUGAUCACUUGGAAAUUGUAGCUCUUGAUCAUCUUGUUCCUUGUCUUCUUGUAAAUAUUCUUCAAGUUGAGGACUCUCAUCCUCUGGAUCUUCUAUGGUGCUACUACCAGCAACACUUAAUUGAGUCUGAAGUGUCCCCAUCUGUGAAUAUUCACUAACAUGAUCUGGUAGGGUUGUUGAGAUCACUACCUCGCUUUCUUUCUGAGCAAUGUUCUCCUCAUCACCAUCACUGCUAAGUUUCAACAGUGACACUAAUGACUUCCACCAGUCAUGCAGCUCAGCAACACGUGGGAUCUUCUCAGGAUAUUGAAGUAUCAACUCUUCUAAAUUUGACUCAACCUCUUGUAUCUCUCUCCUUGGAAUGUCUCUGACUUGCUUAGUUGUAUGUGCAGGAGUUGGAAUCUCAUCUUCACUAUUCUUCUCGGAGAUACUCUCUUUAACUGUGAUAGAGGCAACCACCGGUGGAGCUAAUGAUUUCCUCUUGACAAAUAGCCCAGAUACCGUUGUAACACAAGUGUGGGCAAUUGGUGACACGACUAAAUUCCACCAGUCACAUAGUUGACUAACACAAGUGAAUUUCUCCAUAUCUUGCUGUCUCAACUUAGCAUCAAUUAGAGUAGGUUCCUCAUAAACAUCUUCUUGCAACUUUGACUCAUUCUGGACAGUUUCAUUGCCAUGAGGUAUUGGAUCUGCUACUGUGGUUUCCAUCUGAUCUACAGUAGUUUCAUCAUCUUGAGAAAUAUCAUAAUCAUCAAGAAGGAUAAUUGAAGUAAGAUCAAUCUUUCUAUAUGGAGGAUCUAAUUCAGUUCUGAAAUGUUGUUGUCCCCGGAAUGAAACAUGCUGGUUUUGAAUAUUAGGCACCAUGGAUGAUUUCUGUUCACUUAUGGAACACACAGCUUCUGAUUGCACGAGGCUUGCAACCUUCGGAUUUGAACUAGGCCUUUCAUAACCCCAUUGCAUUUGGUGGAAGGCAAUGCUCUCAAUGAGAAUAAUUGCACCCUCAACGGUCUUGUUCAUGAUUAUUCCACCAGCUGACAUAUCAAUAAGAUCUCUUGAAGCAUGUGUCAGCCCUCUAUAGGAUAUCUGAAGCACUAACCAAUCCUUUUGCCCAUGAUUAGGACAUUUUAUAAGCAAAUACUUAUAUCUCUCCCAAGCUGCAUACAAGCUCUCACUACCAUCUUGCGCAAAACUGAGGAUCUGGUCACGAAUUGCAGCUUGCUUGUAAAGUGGAAAAUAUCUAUACAGGAAAGCUUGUGAAAUAUCACCCCAAGUGUAUGAUCUUGAUGGCAAAGAAUAGUACCAGUCCUUAGCAGCAUCUCUGAGAGAGAAUGUGAACAACAUACACUUGAUAGCAUCUUGGGAAACGCCAUGAUACGGGACUGUAUUGGCAUACUCCAGAACAUUACUAAUGUGCUCAUGAGGGUCUUCAUUGGGUAAUCCACUAAACUGAUUAUGCAAGAUGAGAGCAAUAAGUCCAGGCCUCAACUCAAAAUUUUCGGCCUCAAUAGAUGGCCAAAUUGGCCUUGUCAUCAUGUCCAAACUACUUGGCAACCAAAGAUCAUGUACUAAAGCCAUAUGUUCAAGUGCAACUGUCAAUCAACCUACAAAUAAUAAGAUAUCCUACACACGCUCACAAACAUGAAACAUUGGUGAGAGGGUUAGUAUCCUAAUAAGCCGAAGCAAAAAAGAGUAAAAAGGUAAAAGAAACACAGAAAUAAAUUUGACUGGAAAUUUAAACAAAAACUAAACUAAGCCUAGUCUAUAGCUUCACACAAUCGCUCGACGCUAGUCCCCAGCAACAGCGCCAAAAUGAUCAAUUGAAAGUAUAGCAAGGUUUUUACACCCCAAACUACGGAUGUCGUGUUCUCCACAGGGACUAGGCGACGACGACUAUGCUCGGCUAAAGCUAGGUAGCACAAUUUUAAGAGAUAAAUGCAGAAAAUAAGAAUCUAAACUAACAAUAAUUGUACCCAAAGAUAAUCCACACAAAAAAAUACAAACAACAAAGGGAGAUUAAGAUUGCAAUCACCGUCUUUUUGGUGUUUUCAUAUUACUUGCGAAACUAAAAUGCUAACACGGGGGAUCAACACUAAAAAAAGGGUAAACAAGAUAUGAUACUGGGACAGAAAUAUAUCACAACACAAACAUAUAUAUUUUCACAUGAACGUAAUUAACACAGGGACUACAGAACACACAUAAGCACACAUAAGCGAACAGGGCACUACACCAUGAUUCAGAUUACACAAGUAAACAAAUAAUACAAGCCACUUGACUAGUAUCACAGAUCAACAGAGUAGUAUUGAACAACUAAAAAAUAGAUAGUAGAAGUAACUAGUACAUGGAGCAAGUACUCUUAGAAUCUGAAUGUUUCAGACUACACGUCUCAAACUACAGAAAAUUCGGAGAAGAGAAGGAUAAAGAGAGAUGGCAGCAGGAGGUUAGAGAAAGAAGAAGAAGCAACUAGGGCAUGGAGAAAGGAGCAGCAACAGUACGGGAUUCAGAGAAGAGCAACAGAGAGGGAGAGAGCAGUAGCAAGGGCGAGGGAAGGAGGAGCAGCACCAGGGGCGCAAGACGAGCAGCAGCAGCAGCAGGAACGUGAGAAGGAGCAGUACCAAGGGCGUGAGAGGGGAAGCAGCAGCGUGGUGAGGAGAAGGAGAAGAGCAACAGCGAGGUAAGGGAAGAGCAGCGAGCAGCAGGGAGGCGCUGGAUGUGGUGGUGUUGUGGCGACGACGCGGUGGUGUUGGAGGCGCGAGGUGGUGGAUGGCGCUGGUGAUGGAUGGCGUGAGUGAUGUAUGGCGCGAGGUAGUGAUGCGGUGGGAGGUGCUGGUGGCGCGCCGCCACGCCGGCCUCGCCGCGGUGGCGGCCGGAGAUGGAGAAGGGGUCGGGUGAGGGAGAUGGAGAUGCCAGGCCUUAUUGGGAAUAGAGGCUGCGCUAGGGAUUUGGUUCCUCUCCUCAGAUCUGCACUUUUGCACUUCGGCCCUUCUACUUCUC